CUCUGUGACUCCCGUACGGGAGGCAGCAGUGGGAAUAUUGCACAAUGGGCGCAAGCCUGAUGCAGCCAUGCCGCGUGUAUGAAGAAGGCCUUCGGGUUAGUAAAGUACUUUCAGCAGUGAGGAAGGUGGAUAUGUUAAUAGCAUACUCAUUUGACGUUAGCUGCAGAAGAAGCACCGGCUAACUCCGUGCCAGCAGCCGCGGUAAUACGGAGGGUGCGAGCGUUAAUCGGAAUUACGUGGGCGUAAAGCGCAUGCAGGUGGUUUGUUAAGUCAGAUGUGAAAGCCCCGGGGCUCAACCUCGGAAUUGCAUUUGAAACUGGCAAACUAGAGUACUGUAGAGGGGGUAGAAUUUCAGGUGUAGCGGUGAAAUGCGUAGAGAUCUGAAGGAAUACCGGUGGCGAAGGCGGCCCCCUGGACAGAUACUGACACUCAGAUGCGAAAGCGUGGGGAGCAAACAGGAUUAGAUACCCUGGUAG
rnacentral:rRNA from 1 species